rnacentral:lncRNA from 1 species
ACUCACUCCAUCCUGCCACCCUGCGAGGAAGGUGCCUGCUUCUUCUUUGCCUUCCGCCGUGAGUGUGAGUCUCCUGAGGCCUCCCCAGCAAUGUGGAACUGAUACGUCAUGGAACAGAGGGCAACCUGCCUCCUGGAAAUGUGGAGUGUCUAGGGAGUCACAGCUGAGAUCUUCCUUGGAUUAAAGGCUGCGGGUGUCACAAACAGAUUCAACUGGGUGAAAUAACUGUGAACUGGGCAUGUGAAGAGAAAGCUGAAAGCCAUGAUCUCAAGAUGGAAACUUCAGUAUCCAGCAAAGAAAUGGUGAAGGCGUUCGUUAUGUGGGAUAUGCUGUUACCACUGAACUUGAAGUUAUCAAAGAAGUUCUAUUCUUAACCCUUAAUCUGCUCAGGAUGCUGUAACAACACCAUAAACUUUCAAACAACUCUAUUUCCUACGGUUCUGGAGGCUGGAAGUCCACAAUCAAAGUGUCAUGUUGUCAGGUUGUGGUGAGGGCCCUCUUUUGGGUGUAGAUUGCUAACUUUUCUGUAUGUGUUCACAUGGCAGAAAGAGAUUGAGCUAGCUCUUGGAUCCUUUCUUAUAAGGGCACCAAUCCCAAUACAGAGGCUUCACUCUCAUGACAUAAUUGUCUCCCAAAGACUCUACCUCCAAAUAUUAUCAAUCACAUUAGGGGAUAGAUUUUAACACAUGAUUUUGGGGGGAACACAUUCAGUCCAUAACAUUUCUUGAGUCUUCUUCUAGGACCCAUAGGUUAUUUUAAAAGUGGCUUGUUCAGUUCCAAGUGUUUGAAGAUUUUUUUUUUCUGUUAUCUUUAACUUACUGAUUUCUAGAUAGACCCCAUUGUGCUCAGAGAACACUCCUUAUGUGAUUUCAAUUAUUUUAAAUUUGUUGAGAUUUUAUGACUUAGUAUGUCAUCUGUCUUGGUGUGUAUUCUGUGGGGGGGAUGGGGGGUGCUUGAAAAACGGGUAUUCUGCUAUUAUAGAAUGUCAAAAUAUCAACUGUAAUAAACAAGAAAAAUAAUCCUAGUCUUUUAUUUAAGGGCCCUCUUUAGUCCAUCUCAACAGACCCUUCUCCGAAGGGGAAAGAAAUGCAGCUCACAAGAGCCCAUUAAACAACUAAAACAAGACAAAAUAAAACAACUACCCCCUGCCAAUUUGCACACUGUUACUUCUUUUGUUUUCCCAAUCUUAUUUCUUCUUCUUUUUUAUAAUAAAAAAUUUCAAAGCAAU